UGAACGCUGGCGGCGUGCCUAAUACAUGCAAGUCGAGCGAACAGACGAGGAGCUUGCUCCUCUGACGUUAGCGGCGGACGGGUGAGUAACACGUGGAUAACCUACCUAUAAGACUGGGAUAACUUCGGGAAACCGGAGCUAAUACCGGAUAAUAUAUUGAACCGCAUGGUUCAAUAGUGAAAGACGGUUUUGCUGUCACUUAUAGAUGGAUCCGCGCCGCAUUAGCUAGUUGGUAAGGCAACGGCUUACCAAGGCAACGAUGCGUAGCCGACCUGAGAGGGUGAUCGGCCACACUGGAACUGAGACACGGUCCAGACUCCUACGGGAGGCAGCAGUAGGGAAUCUUCCGCAAUGGGCGAAAGCUUGACGGAGCAACGCCGCGUGAGUGAUGAAGGUCUUCGGAUCGUAAAACUCUGUUAUUAGGGAAGAACAAAUGUGUAAGUAACUAUGCACGUCUUGACGGUACCUAAUCAGAAAGCCACGGCUAACUACGUG
rnacentral:rRNA from 1 species